rnacentral:rRNA from 1 species
UACGGGGGGGGGCAAGCGUUGUUCGGAAUUACUGGGCGUAAAGGGCUCGUAGGCGGCCAACUAAGUCAGACGUGAAAUCCCCUCGGCUUAACCGGGGAACUGCGUCUGAUACUGGAUGGCUUGAGGUUGGGAGAGGGAUGCGGAAUUCCAGGUGUAGCGGUGAAAUGCGUAGAUAUCUGGAGGAACACCGGUGGCGAAGGCGGCAUCCUGGACCAAUUCUGACGCUGAGGAGCGAAAGCCAGGGGAGCAAAACGGGG